rnacentral:SRP_RNA from 1 species
GCUAGGUGUGGUGGCACACCCCGGUAAUUCCAGCUACAGGGGAGGAUGAGGCUAGAUGAUUUUCACAGCCUGGGGAUUUCUGAGCUCUGGGAGGCUUAAAGCCUAUCUGGGGUUCACACUAAAUCUGGCAUCAAUAUUGUGAGCCCCUGGGAGGGAGCGAGCAUCAGGUUGCUUAAGGAAAGGUGAACCAGCCAAGGUUGGAAAUGGAGGCGGUUAAAGCUUCCGUGCUGAUUGGCAUUGUGAUCAGGACCAUGGGUGGCUGCUGUAUGUCCAGCCUGAGUGAGACAGGGAGGGGCUGUCUCCA